GGUUCAAUAGCUCAAUGGUAGAUCAUACGGCUCAUAACCGUGCGGUUGUAGGUUCGACACCUACUUGAACCA
rnacentral:tRNA from 2 species